AAAAUUUUUGCCGGUAUGUUCGCGUGCACGGCAGGUACGGAUUCCUUGGUUCGUACAUUGGUUGGUUAAUUUGUGCUAACACCAGUUUAUUGCGCUUCGAUAUCUCGCGUUAUUUAACUUGGGGUGUAAGCCUGAAAGCUAGGUUUCAGUCGUGAGCCAUGUGGAACACGUCUGCAUCGAAAUGGGAGCCGGGUCCUGCUGCGACUGGGGACAGCAAUACCGACAUGCAGUAAUGAGGAUGGCACCAGUAUAAAGCAACACACUCCAUGCACUAAACAGAAGCUGCUGCCUGCUACAACAAGGUCAUUGUGUGGACUUUGGCUGCUACUACAAGAGUCUGUGCCAAGUACAUCUUGGUCAUCACGGGAGCCCCCAUCUACACCAACAGGAAGGGGCUGGAGCUGAAUUCACAAGACCACGAACAAAGAAGCCAUUCCAGAAUUAUUUGGAUGAGAUAUCAAGUCUACGGACGACUGUUUCAAGAGUGAAAAGAGCCUACGCCAUCAUUCCACCAGCACAGAUAUUGGCCGAGUCAUCCAGGUACCUCAACAACAAAAAUUAUUUGUCUUCAGAUGUAUCUGCAACCUCUGAACAAGCACAGACGACGCUGGCUAAGAGUGUUCUGUCAGCUUGCCCUUCCUUAGGGAGCUCCCUGGCCUUGCCAAUUCUUGCCAAGUAUAAUUUUGUUUCAAUGAA